rnacentral:rRNA from 1 species
GAUGAACGCUGGCGGCGUGCCUAAUACAUGCAAGUCGAGCGAACAGACGAGGAGCUUGCUCCUCUGACGUUAGCGGCGGACGGGGGAGUAACACGUGGAUAACCUACCUAUAAGACUGGGAUAACUUCGGGAAACCGGAGCUAAUACCGGAUAAUAUAUUGAACCGCAUGGGUCAAUAGUGAAAGACGGUUUUGCUGUCACUUAUAGAUGGAUCCGCGCCGGAUUAGCUAGUUGGUAAGGUAACGGCUUACCAAGGCAACGAUGCGUAGCCGACCUGAGAGGGUGAUCAGCCACACUGGAACUGAGACACGGUCCAGACUCCUACGGGAGGCAGCAGUAGGGAAUCUUCCGCAAUGGGCGAAAGCCUGACGGAGCAACGCCGCGUGAGUGAUGAAGGUCUUCGGAUCGUAAAACUCUGUUAUUAGGGAAGAACAAAUGUGUAAGUAACUAUGCACGUCUUGACGGUACCUAAUCAGAAAGCCACGGCUAACUACGUG